rnacentral:lncRNA from 1 species
GCUUGGGAUCCGUCUCCUCUUUCGCCUCCUGCACCUUGGGAGCCCCGGGCUACUCUCUCACAGCCCCUGUUGCCCUGUGAUCUGUAGGUCCUUGGGGACGCAUAGUUAAGGUGCCAGGACAUCCUGGAAGCUGGGAAAUGAUUUCUUCCAGACCAUGGCUGGAGAAGGAAAGAAGGUGUGUUUUGCCUGACUCAGUGACUAUAG